rnacentral:rRNA from 1 species
CCUACGGGGGGCAGCAGUGGGGAAUAUUGCACAAUGGGCGAAAGCCUGAUGCAGCGACGCCGCGUGAGGGAUGACGGCCUUCGGGUUGUAAACCUCUUUCAGCAGGGAAGAAGCGCAAGUGACGGUACCUGCAGAAGAAGCGCCGGCUAACUACGUGCCAGCAGCCGCGGUAAUACGUAGGGCGCAAGCGUUGUCCGGAAUUAUUGGGCGUAAAGAGCUCGUAGGCGGCUUGUCACGUCGGAUGUGAAAGCCCGGGGCUUAACCCCGGGUCUGCAUUCGAUACGGGCUAGCUAGAGUGUGGUAGGGGAGAUCGGAAUUCCUGGUGUAGCGGUGAAAUGCGCAGAUAUCAGGAGGAACACCGGUGGCGAAGGCGGAUCUCUGGGCCAUUACUGACGCUGAGGAGCGAAAGCGUGGGGAGCGAACAGGAUUAGAUACCCUGGUAGUCC